CCUACGGGUGGCAGCAGUAGGGAAUCUUGCGCAAUGGGCGAAAGCCUGACGCAGCGACGCCGCGUGAGUGAUGAAGGUCUUCGGAUCGUAAACCUCUGUCAUCAGGGAAGAACAGUCACUGUGCUAAUCAGCAGUGAAUUGACGGUACCUGCAAAGGAAGCACCGGCUAACUCCGUGCCAGCAGCCGCGGUAAUACGGAGGGUGCGAGCGUUAAUCGGAAUUACUGGGCGUAAAGCGCUCGUAGGCGGUAUGUCAAGUCAAGGGUGAAAUCCCCGCGCUCAACGUGGGAACGGCAUUUGAAACUGGCAGACUGGAGUGUAGGAGAGGAUAGUGGAAUUCCAGGUGUAGCAGUGAAAUGCGUAGAUAUAUGGAGGAACAUCAGUGGCGAAGGCGACUAUCUGGCACAUAACUGACGCUGAGGAGCGAAAGCGUGGGUAGCAAACAGGAUUAGAUACCCUAGUAGUC
rnacentral:rRNA from 1 species